UUAUCAGCCAAUCACAUGUUGACACAACUAACGUUAGUCGCACUCUGGCAUCACGCCAAACAAAUUCAUGGAAGUUAGCGGAGUAAACUGAAAUAAAAUAACUUUAGCUUGUUUUACAGCGCCUAUAAAGUUAUACACAUAAUAAAGCUCGCAGCAAUGAAGCGUGGAGACGAGGUCCUGGUGAAAACUUUCCUAAGAACAAGUCAAGUUAGAUUAAAUGACAUGAAGGAUAUGAACCACUUUGGAGAAUGAUCUUCAGAUAACAGCGGAGAGCUGUUUCUGUGAUGCUUCAGGGACGCACUGCGGCUGCGUCUGGUGGACUCGCAAGCAUUGACCAUAAUGGCUGCGAUUAGCUGCGGCACAGCCAUAAUGCGCCGUAGCCAGAGUCAGUGGAUUUUAGAGGUCAAGCUCACAUGUCAGCUAAUAGAACUCAGUAGUGACUUUUAUCCUGUCCCUCCAGGUAAAUGCAAUGCCUUUUUUAAACUCCAUCCCCCCCACUUUGCAAUGCAGGAUCUCCUGAUUUUAAAAAGUCGUACCCAGAUAGCGCCCAGAUGACAUCAUCUUUCUGACUAGUUGUACUAAUUAGGACAAAAUCAUUUUGAUGUGUGAAAUUGGUGUGCCUAAUCUGAAAAUAAAAGUGAGUGUAAUA